rnacentral:rRNA from 1 species
AUUGAACGCUGGCGGCGUGCUUAACACAUGCAAGUCGAUCGGUAACAGGUGUAGCAAUACAUGCUGACGAGAGGCGGACGGGUGAGUAAUGCUUGGGAAUCUGCCUAUUAGUGGGGGACAACCCGGGGAAACUCGGGCUAAUACCGCAUACGCUCUACGGAGGAAAGCCGGGGACCGCAAGGCCUGGCGCUAAUAGAUGAGCCCAAGUCGGAUUAGCUAGUUGGUAGGGUAACGGCCUACCAAGGCGACAAUCCGUAGCUGGUCUGAGAGGACGACCAGCCACACCGGAACUGAGACACGGCCCAGACUCCUACGGGAGGCAGCAGUGGGGAAUCUUGCGCAAUGGGCGAAAGCCUGACGCAGCGACGCCGCGUGAGGGAUGACGGCCUCGG